rnacentral:rRNA from 1 species
UGGGGAAUUUUGGACAAUGGGCGCAAGCCUGAUCCAGCCAUGCCGCGUGCGGGAAGAAGGCCUUCGGGUUGUAAACCGCUUUUGUCAGGGAAGAAAUCUUCUGAGUUAAUACCUCGGGAGGAUGACGGUACCUGAAGAAUAAGCACCGGCUAACUACGUGCCAGCAGCCGCGGUAAUACGUAGGGUGCAAGCGUUAAUCGGAAUUACUGGGCGUAAAGCGUGCGCAAGGCGGUUUUGUAAGACAGAGGUGAAAUCCCCGGGCUCAACCUGGGAACUGCCUUUGUGACUGCAAGGCUUGAGUGCGGCAGAGGGGGGAUGGAAAUUCCGCGUGUAGCAGUGAAAUGCGUAGAUAUGCGGAGGAACACCGAUGGCGAAGGCAAUCCCCUGGGCCUGCACUGACGCUCAUGCACGAAAGCGUGGGGAGCAAACAGGAUUAGAUACCCUGGUAGUCCACGCCCUAAAACGAUGUC